rnacentral:rRNA from 2 species
UACGGAGGGUGCAAGCGUUAUCCGGAUUUACUGGGUUUAAAGGGUGCGUAGGUGGGUGAAUAAGUCAGCGGUGAAAUCUCCGGGCUUAACUCGGAAACUGCCAUUGAUACUAUUCGUCUUGAAUAUCCUGGAGGUGAGCGGAAUAUGUCAUGUAGCGGUGAAAUGCUUAGAUAUGACAUAGAACACCUAUUGCGAAGGCAGCUCACUACGGGAUUAUUGACACUGAGGCACGAAAGCGUGGGGAUCAAACAGG